CGCUUUCAGUUAGUGUUCAUUGCUGAGUGAUCGCUCGCUAUCUGACUGGAAAAGAUGGUCCGGAAGCUUCCUCUCUCCCAGCAAGCAAGACGAGAUCACCACUUCUCUCAGUAAUGGACUUCCUUUACUUCGUAACCUUAGCCUUAGAUGUCCUUUCAUAGAUUCUCGAACCUCCGACAGACAGAAUCUCCAUGCAUGCGUUCUUUCUCUCCUCCCCUCAGCCAUACAUCCCUUUUUUUCUUUUGGCCGUUUUUGUUAGGCAUUGAACCCCACCCCACGGAGCGGUGCUGAGUGGUGUCCUCCCCUCCCUAAUACCUAAACAGAGUUCCGUCUAUGGAGCCUAAAGCUUAAACCAUGGCAUGGCGCAGUAAGUUGGCCUAGUCUCUCGCCCAGCCUUCGCCUUCUUCAGUGGCCAAGUUGAAGCGUUCAACGCCGGCCUACCCCCUUUUUUUUUCAAGGUUGAGCUUGUUCAAUUGAAGCUAAUGCUAUGCUGCCCUUCCCUUGUUCAAGAGAAAGCGAGGACUUUCUUUUAGCUACCGGCCCAAACAAAAGAGAUUAGCCUCUUGAUCGAUCGAUUGAUUGGAU
rnacentral:lncRNA from 1 species